AGAGUUGUAGCUCAGUGGUAAAGCACUUGCCUGUUAUGUAUGAGGCCCUGGGUUCGAUCCUCAGCACCACAU
rfam:Ictidomys tridecemlineatus contig044410, whole genome shotgun sequence.